rnacentral:rRNA from 1 species
UUGAACGCUGGCGGCAUGCCUUACACAUGCAAGUCGAACGGCAGCACGGGAGCAAUCCUGGUGGCGAGUGGCGAACGGGUGAGUAAUAUAUCGGAACGUGCCCAAUCGUGGGGGAUAACGCAGCGAAAGCUGUGCUAAUACCGCAUACGAUCUACGGAUGAAAGCAGGGGACCGCAAGGCCUUGCGCGGACGGAGCGGCCGAUGGCAGAUUAGGUAGUUGGUGGGAUAAAAGCUUACCAAGCCGACGAUCUGUAGCUGGUCUGAGAGGACGACCAGCCACACUGGGACUGAGACACGGCCCAGACUCCUACGGGAGGCAGCAGUGGGGAAUUUUGGACAAUGGGCGAAAGCCUGAUCCAGCCAUGCCGCGUGCAGGAUGAAGGCCUUCGGGUUGUAAACUGCUUUUGUACGGAACGAAAAAGUCUUCUCUAAUACAGGGGGCGAAUGACGGUACCGUAAGAAUAAGCACCGGCUAACUACGU